rnacentral:rRNA from 1 species
UGAACGCUGGCGGUAGGCUUAACACAUGCAAGUCGUGCGAGAAAGUAUCUUCGGAUAUUAGUAGAGCGGCGGACGGGUGAGUAACGCGUAGGAAUCUACCUAGUAGAAGGGGAUAGCCCGGGGAAACUCGGAUUAAUACCGUAUACCUCCUUAGGGAGAAAGAGGGCCUCUCAUGAAGCUCUCGCUAUUAGAUGAGCCUGCGUAAGAUUAGCUUGUUGGUGAGGUAAAGGCUCACCAAGGCUACGAUCUUUAGCUGGUCUGAGAGGACGAUCAGCCACAUUGGGACUGAGACACGGCCCAGACUCCUACGGGAGGCAGCAGUGGGGAAUAUUGGACAAUGGGCGCAAGCCUGAUCCAGCCAUACCGCGUGUGUGAAGAAGGCCCUAGGGUUGUAAAGCACUUUAAGCAGGGAGAAAAAGUAAAAAGUUAAUACCUUUUUGCCGUGAUGUUACCUGCAGAAUAAGCACCGGCUAAU